UAAGCGGAGGAAAAGAAACUAACAAGGAUUCCCCUAGUAACGGGCGAGUGAAGCGGGAAGAGCUCAAAUUUGUAAUCUGGCACUUUCAGUGUCCGAGUUGUAAUCUCGAGAAGUAUUUUCCGCGCCGGACCGCAUACAAGUCUGUUGGAAUACAGCGUCAUAGUGGUGAGAACCCCGUAACUGAUGCGGAUGCCCGGUGCUUUGUGAUAUACUUUCGAAGAGUCGAGUUGUUUGGGAAUGCAGCUCAAAUUGGGUGGUAAAUUCCAUCUAAAGCUAAAUAUUGGAGCAAGACCGAUAGCGAACAAGUACCGUGAGGGAAAGAUGAAAAGCACUUUGGAAAGAGAGUUAACAGUACGUGAAAUUGUUGGAAGGGAAACGCUUGAAGUCAGACUUGCUAUUCGGAGUUCAGCCGCAAGGUGUAUUCUUCGAUUUGCAGGCCAGCAUCAGUUUUUGGGGGUGGAAAAUCGUGGUUUGAAGGUAGCAGUUUCGGCUGUGUUAUAGCUUUCCACUGGAUUCAUCUUCGGGGACUGAGGAACGCAGUACGCUUUUUGCAAGGCUCUCGAGCUUUUCGUACUUAGGAUGCUGGUGGAAUGGCUUUAAACGACCCGUCUUGAAACACG
rnacentral:rRNA from 1 species